rnacentral:tRNA from 1 species
AGGGGUAUAGUAUAAUGGCAGUACAGCGGUCUCCAAAACCGUUAGUGUGGGUUCGAAUCCUGCUACCCCUG